UUUCUUUUCGAAGAAAGAGAAAAGUGAAGGAUGGAAAGUUCUUAGAAAAAAAAGAAAAAGAAAAAAAGAAGAAGAAAAAAGGGACUCCUCGAUCGCGUGACUACUAUAGUUGCUGUGAAACAGAUGUGUUUUCGAGCCAUCGUAGAACUUCUCUAAGUAAAAUCACGAAACGAAUAGGAAAUGGCAAUUGUGAAGAACACUAGAACCGUAUUAAAUAAAUUAAAAGGCAUUCUUUCAAUCAACUUUCACAUAUUUGCUUAAACCGGCUGCGCGAGGAUAGCAGGAGGACACUGACAAAUGGCCGAUUCCAUAGGACGAAGUAAGAGAGCUAAAAUGAGGAAG